UCUGUUGGCUGUAGCUGGGUGUGGAGCCCUCACUGCCUGCUGCUGCAUCUGUUUUUGCUGGAUGAAGCGCAGAAAAAGAAAGAAACUUGCUCAAGAAAGGCAGCCUGAAGAAGUGACAAGUCCAUCCAGUGAGGUUCAGGGAUGAAGGCAACUGGAAACUUAGCUUAUGUUUUGA